rnacentral:rRNA from 1 species
UCUUCGGAGGGAAGUGAAGGGAAUGAGCGGCGGACGGGUGAGUAACACGUAAGGAACCUGCCCCAAGGAUUGGGAUAACUCCGAGAAAUCGGAGCUAAUACCGAAUAGUUCUUCAGACCGCAUGGUCUGAUGAUGAAAGGCGCUCCGGCGUCACCUUGGGAUGGCCUUGCGGUGCAUUAGCUAGUUGGUGGGGUAACGGCCCACCAAGGCGACGAUGCAUAGCCGACCUGAGAGGGUGAUCGGCCACACUGGGACUGAGACACGGCCCAGACUCCUACGGGAGGCAGCAGUAGGGAAUCUUCCACAAUGGACGAAAGUCUGAUGGAGCAACGCCGCGUGAGUGAUGAAGGUUUUCGGAUCGUAAAACUCUGUUGUAAGGGAAGAACAAGUACGAGAGGAAAUGCUCGUACCUUGACGGUACCUUGCGAGAAAGCCACGGCUAACUACGUGCCAGCAGCCGCGGUAAUACGUAGGUGGCAAGCGUUGUCCGGAAUUAUUGGGCGUAAAGCGCGCGCAGGCGGCCUUUUAAGUCUGAUGUGAAAGCCCCCGGCUCAACCGGGGAGGGUCAUUGGAAACUGGAAGGCUUGAGUACAGAAGAGAAGAGUGGAAUUCCAUGUGUAGCGGUGAAAUGCGUAGAGAUGUGGAGGAACACCAGUGGCGAAGGCGACUCUUUGGUCUGUAACUGACGCU